UACGUAGGGCGCAAGCGUUGUCCGGAAUUAUUGGGCGUAAAGAGCUCGUAGGCGGCUUGUCACGUCGGGUGUGAAAGCCCCGGGGCUUAACCCCGGGUCUGCAUUCGAUACGGGCUAGCUAGAGUGUGGUAGGGGAGAUCGGAAUUCCUGGUGUAGCGGUGAAAUGCGCAGAUAUCAGGAGGAACACCGGUGGCGAAGGCGGUUCUCUGGGCAUGUCCUGACGCUGAGACGCGAAAGCGUGGGGAGCGAACAGG
rnacentral:rRNA from 1 species